rnacentral:rRNA from 1 species
CCUACGGGAGGCAGCAGUGGGGGAUAUUGCACAAUGGGCGAAACCCUGAUGCAGCCAAGCCGCGUGAGUGAAGAAGUCUCUCGGUAUGUAAAGCUCUAUCAGCAGGGAAGAGAAUGACUGUACCUGACUAAGAAGCCCCGGGCCACUACGUGCCAGCAGCCGCGGUCAUACGUAGGGGGCGAGCGUUAUCCGGAUGUAUUGGGUGUAAAGGGGGGGUAGACGGGUGGACAAGUCUGAAGUGAAAGCCCGGGGCUUAACCCCGGAACGGCUUUGGAAACUGAGGAGCUAGAGUGCUGGAGAGGUAAGCGGAAUGCGUGGUGUAGCGGUGAAAUGCGUAGAUAUUAGGCGGAACACCAGUGGCGAAGGCGGCUUACUGGAGAGUAACUGACGUUGAGGCUCGAAAGCGUGGGGAGCAAACAGGAUUAGAUACCCGAGUAGUC